rnacentral:rRNA from 1 species
UACGAAGGGGGCUAGCGUUGUUCGGAAUCACUGGGCGUAAAGCGCACGUAGGCGGAUUGUUAAGUCGGAGGUGAAAUCCUGGGGCUCAACCCCAGAACUGCCUUCGAUACUGGCGAUCUUGAGUGUGGAAGAGGUUGGUGGAACUCCGAGUGUAGAGGUGAAAUUCGUAGAUAUUCGGAAGAACACCAGUGGCGAAGGCGGCCAACUGGUCCACCACUGACGCUGAGGUG